rnacentral:rRNA from 1 species
GAUGAACGCUGGCGGCGUGCCUAAUACAUGCAAGUCGAGCGAACAGACGAGGAGCUUGCUCCUCUGACGUUAGCGGCGGACGGGUGAGUAACACGUGGAUAACCUACCUAUAAGACUGGGAUAACUUCGGGAAACCGGAGCUAAUACCGGAUAAUAUAUUGAACCGCAUGGUUCAAUAGUGAAAGACGGUUUUGCUGGCACUUAUAGAUGGAUCCGCGCCGCAUUAGCUAGUUGGUAAGGUAACGGCUUACCAAGGCAACGAGGCGUAGCCGACCUGAGAGGGUGAUCGGCCACACUGGAACUGAGACACGGUCCAGACUCCUGCGGGAGGCAGCAGUAGGGAAUCUUCCGCAAUGGGCGAAAGCUUGACGGAGCAACGCCGCGUGAGUGAUGAAGGUCUUCGGAUCGUAAAACUCUGUUAUUAGUGAAGAACAAAUGUGUAAGUAACUAUGCACGUCUUGACGGUACCUAAUCAGAAAGCCACGGCUAACUACGUG